rnacentral:rRNA from 1 species
UACGUAGGGUGCGAGCGUUGUCCGGAAUUACUGGGCGUAAAGAGCUCGUAGGUGGUUUGUCGCGUUGUCCGUGAAAACUCACAACUCAAUUGUGGGCGUGCGGCGAUACGGGCAGACUGGAGUACUGCAGGGGAGACUGGAAUUCCUGGUGUAGCGGUGAAUGCGCAGAUAGUCAGGAGGAACACCGGUGGCGAAGGCGGGUCUCUGGGCAGUAACUGACGCUGAGGAGCGGAAAGCGUGGGGAGCGAACAG